GUGUGUGACUACCUGUGCUCAUCCUUGAUACCAAUGUGACACAGACAGUUUUACCGUUUCUGCCAGGCGAUGAUGGAUUCCUGUGUUGCCAAGGAUGAGCAAACCCACAGCACUGCAGACUCUGGCAAUCGGCCAUCUUCGGUUCCUAACCAGGAUGUGGAGUCAAACGCAGAGGACAGCGAUGCAGGUGACAGCUUCAGAUGAACAUGGUACCUUCAGGCGUUUGGAAAUUGCUCCCAAGGAUGAACCAGACUUGUGGAGGUCUACAAUUUUUAUCUGAUUUCUUUUGGUUUUCCCAUGAUGUCAAGCAAAAAGGCACUGAGUUUCAAGCAGGUUGAGGAGCAUGCUCUCGCUGCACACUCGUGCCCCUCUGCACGCUCAAGAAAGGAAUAAAGGAGAGAGAGGAGGAUAUGGAAACACAUGGUGGUUUUCUGUAUAGAUAAGUUGUUUCACACAAUUAAUUAUGAAAAUAUUUUUAAAAAUCACAAAUUUACUCAUUACUAAAGGCAUCUUAAUUAAAUCAGUUUUGUUUGUUUUUCUGCAAUGCGUAAUAUGCAGGGGGCUAUGUAUUGUAUAACAGCACAAUUAUCCUUUUAAUUCAGUUUUUUCAGGCUUGCAUAAACUCUAAUAUGUUUAUGGGGGUUUUGAAUGAAUC